AGAAAAUUGUAGUUCCAUCUGUUUUUACACAAAAAAUUUUGUGAAAAUGUAAAAAAAGACUUGAUAAUUCCUUAAGAAUUGAUGAAAUCCAACAUGACAAAUGACUCGACAAGCAGCAUUCAAUGUGACGAUCAAAAUAAAUCAAUAAUAAGCCUUUGUAAAUCUACGAUGGCUAUUCAACAUAAUAAUCAAAAUGAAUCAAUGAACAUCCUACACGAAUUUCCAAUGGAUAUUCAAAAUGAAGUUAUAGUUUUUAAUGAACCAACACAUGUCACAAGUCAACAAAGAAAACGGUUUAAAAUUAAUAAAACAGAAAAG